GUUGGGUAGGGGAGCGUUCUGUAAGCCUGCGAAGGUGGCCUGUGAGGGUUGCUGGAGGUAUCAGAAGUGCGAAUGCUGACAUAAGUAACGAUAAAGCGGGUGAAAAGCCCGCUCGCCGGAAGACCAAGGGUUCCUGUCCAACGUUAAUCGGGGCAGGGUGAGUCGACCCCUAAGGCGAGGCCGAAAGGCGUAGUCGAUGGGAAACGGGUUAAUAUUCCCGUACUUGGUGUUACUGCGAAGGGGGGACGGAGAAGGCUAUGUUGGCCGGGCGACGGUUGUCCCGGUUUAAGCGUGUAGGUGUGUGUUCCAGGUAAAUCCGGUUCACUUUAACACUGAGGCGUGACGACGAGGCACUACGGUGCUGAAGCAACAAAUGCCCUGCUUCCAGGAAAAGCCUCUAAGCAUCAGGUAACAUCAAAUCGUACCCCAAACCGACACAGGUGGUCAGGUAGAGAAUACCAAGGCGCUUGAGAGAACUCGGGUGAAGGAACUAGGCAAAAUGGUGCCGUAACUUCGGGAGAAGGCACGCUGACACGUAGGUGAAGUGAUUUACUCAUGGAGCUGAAGUCAGUCGAAGAUACCAGCUGGCUGCAACUGUUUAUUAAAAACACAGCACUGUGCAAACACGAAAGUGGACGUAUACGGUGUGACGCCUGCCCGGUGCCGGAAGGUUAAUUGAUGGGGUCAGCGCAAGCGAAGCUCCUGAUCGAAGCCCCGGUAAACGGCGGCCGUAACUAUAACGGUCCUAAGGUAGCGAAAUUCCUUGUCGGGUAAGUUCCGACCUGCACGAAUGGCGUAAUGAUGGCCAGGCUGUCUCCACCCGAGACUCAGUGAAAUUGAACUCGCUGUGAAGAUGCAGUGUACCCGCGGCAAGACGGAAAGACCCCGUGAACCUUUACUAUAGCUUGACACUGAACAUUGAGCCUUGAUGUGUAGGAUAGGUGGGAGGCUUUGAAGUGUGGACGCCAGUCUGCAUGGAGCCGACCUUGAAAUACCACCCUUUAAUGUUUGAUGUUCUAACGUGGACCCGUGAUCCGGGUUGCGGACAGUGUCUGGUGGGUAGUUUGACUGGGGCGGUCUCCUCCUAAAGAGUAACGGAGGAGCACGAAGGUUGGCUAAUCCUGGUCGGACAUCAGGAGGUUAGUGCAAUGGCAUAAGCCAGCUUGACUGCGAGCGUGACGGCGCGAGCAGGUGCGAAAGCAGGUCAUAGUGAUCCGGUGGUUCUGAAUGGAAGGGCCAUCGCUCAACGGAUAAAAGGUACUCCGGGGAUAACAGGCUGAUACCGCCCAAGAGUUCAUAUCGACGGCGGUGUUUGGCACCUCGAUGUCGGCUCAUCACAUCCUGGGGCUGAAGUAGGUCCCAAGGGUAUGGCUGUUCGCCAUUUAAAGUGGUACGCGAGCUGGGUUUAGAACGUCGUGAGACAGUUCGGUCCCUAUCUGCCGUGGGCGCUGGAGAACUGAGGGGGGCUGCUCCUAGUACGAGAGGACCGGAGUGGACGCAUCACUGGUGUUCGGGUUGUCAUGCCAAUGGCACUGCCCGGUAGCUAAAUGCGGAAGAGAUAAGUGCUGAAAGCAUCUAAGCACGAAACUUGCCCCGAGAUGAGUUCUCCCUGAGACU
rnacentral:rRNA from 1 species